rnacentral:tRNA from 1 species
GCUGGUGUAUCAUAGUGGUAAUGCUUCGGCCUUCCAAGCCGACGAUGUGGGUUCGAUUCCCAUCACCCGCUCCA